AGGGAAGUCAAUGCUUUCUUUUUGGCCACUUCCAAUCUGGCAAUUGUUAAUGAACGUGAUUCAUUCGUCGACUCUGUCUGAGAUUUGGAUGAAGCACGAGUUCUAUAACAAAGUAUGGCACCUAUAGAUCUAUUCCAUAUUGUGUGUAAUUUUUUAGUCCUUACUUGUCAUGGCCCUAGAACUAGAAAGAAUAAGAAUUCUAGAAUAAGGGUCCCUCCAUUUCGAAUGAGAGAGAUAACGAAAUAUCGUUCCCAGAUAUCUCAAUUGGUCAAAUUCGGACCAAUUGCAUCUCUAUUUAUUCCUUUCAAGAAAUGCCC
rnacentral:lncRNA from 1 species